rnacentral:rRNA from 1 species
UACAGAGGUCUCAAGCGUUGUCCGGAAUUAUUGGGCGUAAAGAGCUCGUAGGCGGUUUGUCGCGUCUGCUGUGAAAACUCGGGGCUUAACUCCGGGCCUGCAGUGGGUACGGGCAGACUAGAGUGCGGUAGGGGAGACUGGAAUUCCUGGUGUAGCGGUGAAAUGCGCAGAUAUCAGGAGGAACACCGGUGGCGAAGGCGGGUCUCUGGGCCGUAACUGACGCUGAGGAGCGAAAGCGUGGGGAGCGAACAGG